rnacentral:rRNA from 1 species
CAGCAGCCGCGGGAAUACGAAGGGGGCUAGCGUUGCUCGGAAUUACUGGGCGUAAAGGGCGCGUAGGCGGCACUGUUAGUCAGGCGUGAAAUUCCCUGGCUCAACCUGGGACUGCGCUUGAUACGGCAGAGCUUGAGGAUGGAAGAGGGUCGUGGAAUUCCCAGUGUAGAGGUGAAAUUCGUAGAUAUUGGGAAGAACACCGGUGGCGAAGGCGGCGACCUGGUCCAUUACUGACGCUGAGGCGCGACAGCGUGGGGAGCAAACAGGAUUAGAUACCCGGGUAGUCCCUGUCUCUUAUACA